rfam:Acidobacteria bacterium 13_1_20CM_3_53_8 13_1_20cm_3_scaffold_63, whole genome shotgun sequence.
GCACCCGUAGCUCAGUUGGAUAGAGCGUCUGGCUACGAACCAGAAGGUCGUAAGUUCGAGUCUUGCCGGGUGCA